UCAUCGAUCAUUUAUCAGCAGUCGCUACCAGAUGGUUCUGUUGCCAACGGUGGAGAGAUGGGAACCCGUGCUUUGUAUAACAUGUCACUCGGCGCUUUGAAUCAUUUCUGUUCCUUUUCAGAUUCCUCUGUUGUCGCACUAUUGGUCAAGUUUUAUAUAUCCUAUCAUCCGUUUUCGUUUUGUUUCUUCAUACAGUUGCGACUAUUUCCUAAAAAUUAUUCCACUUUUUAACUUUUAAGCGCUCAUCAAUGAUUGCAGCUCUUUUCCGUUUGUUAUCAAACCAGUAGUUAUCAAUUCUUUUUCCAAUUCAUCCGUUUUUGUUAGAAAUAUAUAAACUGUAGUUUCUUAUUAAAAGUCUUCCAUUGGUGUUUUCUCCAUUCUCCUUCCAUUCGCUUAUGGAGGAAGUCUGUUCAUGUUAGUCUAUUUCCUCUUAGCCUGUAGGUUUUCCUGAUGCAUUCUUCCAUUUCUUCUUCAAAUACUUCAUAAUAUUUUUCCCUUGCAGGUUCCCACUGAGAUAUCAUUCAGAGAGCUGUGCUUUGUAGAAGGGAGUAUUCCUGUGUCUUGAAUCCAGUUAACAGUUUAAUUCAUUCGCAUUCCAAACUCAAGUCUGAUUUUUGAAACACGAUGCCAGAGAAGGUUGAUUUAUUGUAUCAUCAAUAUCAUUGACUGAUGAUCAAGUAGAUGAUAUAAAGGGUAAUGAUCAUUUAAAUGCUGAAUCAGUGGAUGUUGAUCCUAGCAUUGAUGAGACAGGAGCAAAUGGUGUUGAAGAUAGUAACAAUAGAAAUGAUUCUUGGGCUUGAUAUCUGCGCUGACACAAUGGGUGGUGAUGCAUAAGAUAAAGGCAUUCCAGGUGGACAGAAGAACAGGCUUACAACAGAUAGGUUUUGAAGCUUGAGAUUGCAUUCACUCUGAAAACAUGAAGUUAUAUGCACAGAGGAACUAUGUUCAGAUUACCCUUUGCUCAUGGAUUCCUUUUGAGAUAUUGACAAAGUAAUGGGCACUCCCUCAAAAGUUAACUUGCCUGACAGAAAAAGCUGGGGGUUUCUUGUAGGUGGUCGUCAUGUAUAAUCCUCUUGCAUGUUAUCGAUACUUCAACUUUUAGUGUUAACCUUGAUAAGAAUAUUCAAAACAAGUUUCAUCGUAGAAAGGGUAUUGUUCAUUUAGAGAUGUCAUAUCUUGAUCUGAAGACCUGGAGAUGGGAAAAAAUGAUGGAUCUGUUGUUCGAGGCUAAGCUUGGUGUUGCUGACAAGUACUUCUCAAAGCUAUGUUUUUCCUUCUUUUGCAUUCUCAAACUUGGUGUUGCUGUUGACUGGGUGAACUUACCUUAUUCUUAAUUCAGUUAGACUUAUCGGCAAGGGGCUAGAUGGGACUGUUUUCACGAGCCCAGGUACAAAAACAUGGUAGUUCCAGGUAGUACCAGAAAUCGAUAUCUUGUAAUUUGGUACAAAAACAUCCCAGUUAGGAGUGUCGUUUGGGUUGCCAACCGUGACAAACGAAUCAAAGACAACUCUAGCAUGCCAAGCAUAAACAGAGGGACAAAUCGUGAUUCUCAACCAAAGUCACUUCCUGUUGUUUGACCCUUCUCCUGGACACUUCUUAUGGGAGCUUGUAAAUCAUAAUAACUCAGAUAUCAGCAGAGGGAAUAGUGGCUGCAUCAUCUUGGUUGGAGAUCUAAAUGAUGUAAGACAGGUUUCAGCUGCUGGGCAAGAUCUAUAUAUUUGGUUGGCUGUUCCUGAAAUAGUUAUGACCCUUUAUCGAUCAUAUGCUGAUUAUUUUUUGACAGCUUAACUACAUUUUUCUGCGCAUGGACUGUUAGUUUGAUCAUAUGUGAGGCUGUGAAGA